rnacentral:rRNA from 1 species
AAGGAUCAUUACAGUGAAACGUAAGCGGGGGAGGGCUGCUGCGUGUAUGCGCGCCUCUCUUCUGCNACGCAUCCACUUACACCUGUGCACCUGUCGGCGAGUGCCUUUUGGCCGUUUGGGAACAAGGGCCUCGCCGCCCUUUGCAACCGCUCCGAAUACCGAUGCAUGUUUGAAACCCCACGGGGUAAAGUGAAGUACAACUUUCAACAACGGAUCUCUUGGCUUUUGCAUCGAUGAAGAACGCCGCGAAAGUGCGAAACGUAAUGUGAAUUGCAGAAUUCAGUGAAUCAUCGAAUCUUUGAACGCAUCUUGCGCUCCUUGGUAUUCCGAGGAGCAUGCCUGUUUGAGUGUCGUGUAAAACCCUCGAAGCCCUCCCUUUUGACCGAGGGAAGGCUUCGGACUUGGANGUUUGNGGCUGGUGGCCGCUCGUCUCGAAAUGCAUUAGCUUGGUCCCCUCGGACGACGACGGUGUGAUAAUAGACGCUAUGUGACGCCGUCAAAGUCUAACGGAGGGGACGGCCGACAGCCGUCCUUUGCGGACAAUGUUUGAACGUGUGACCUCAAAUCAGGUAGGACUACCCGCUGAACUUAA